CCUCCCUCGCCCUGGAGGCUUUCAGAGCCGAGAGGGCACACAGGGGCCCUUUCAGCCAGUGUUAAGAUCUUGGCUCCUGUUAGGGGGAGAUUUGUGUUUCCUGUUAACCUGCUGGAUGGUGUUUCAAGAGGCAAGGGCCUGGACUCCCUCUUACAUGGAGACUUUGGAUGCAUCCACCCAGGAACUCGAGGGAGCGACAACCUGUCAUACGUGCAUACAGCAGAGUGCUACCCAGGGACAGCAAGGAAGAAACCACUGAUUGACACAACAGCAGGGAUAAACUAAAUGCAUUUUGCUUGGUGAAAGAAGACAGGCUCAAAAGGCUUUAAAUUGUCAGAGAGGCCAGGCAAUGCCUUCUCAGGGGCUCUGAUGGAGGCAGAGCAGGACUUCUGGUGCAGGCCCGUCCCUGCUCCCCGUCCCCGGGGCCUGCUGCAUCUGGGUUUAUGAACCUGAGAUAAGAGGAGACUUGGAUCUAUAGUAGAGUGAGAGAGGCCUUUUAUGCCAAAGAGCCAAGGAGAAUUCAAGGAUGGCCAGCGUUCAUUCAUUUAUCCAACCACUAAUUACUCAUCUGGGAGCUACUGACGUGUGCUGGGGGUACAGAGAAGAGGGGGUACAGAGAAGAGGGUGGUCUCUGUUCUCAAGUCCCUUAUAGCCCAUUCUGCAUCUGUGCGUUGGCUCACACCACCCCUUGCCUGACCCGCUCUCCCCUUCUCCCCAUCUAUUCCAGGCGUUCCCAGCCUCAGCACAGGUGGCAUUUGGGGAUGGGGAUUUCUUUGUUGUGGUGACUGUUCUGUGCAUUGUAAAACUUUUAGCAGCAUCCCUGGCCCCUACCCACUAGCUGCCACGGCCCCUCCUGAAUUGUGACAUCCAAAAAUGUGUUGAGACAUUGCCGGAUAUCUGAUGGGGGCAAUGGAACCACCGAUCCAUUUUGACUUUAUCCAUAUUUCAUAACCUUACUCAGGUCCUCCUCCAUGAAGCUUGCUUUAGCUGCUGUGGCUCAUCUGGAUUCCCCUUCCCUUUGGGCUCCCAUGCCAGGUCUUGCUGCUGCAAGGCCAUUCGACAUGAAACCUUCCCCCCCCCCCCCCGAUCUCUGCAAGAAGACAGUCCUGACGAUGGUCCCGGAGCUGAAGAUUUCAUUCAGGCACCGUGGCAAGCCUAUGGCCUCUCCAAGAACGAGCUGCUUUCAUCCGCCAGGGAGACCCAGCUUCCUCAACUCUCAAAUCCAGUGCAGUGCUAGGUCGGAAAUUUCCAACCAUCCAUCACAGAAGAUACAGAGGGGCCAAUUGGGUAGAUUUCUAGGUACCCAUUCUCUUUAAAAGAAGCAGACUGUAUGUUUUAUACACUGAGUUUCUGUCUGGUGUUUUGUCGGGAGGGUACCAUGGAGGGAAAAAAGAUGUCAAAAACUAUUAUCUUAAAGACUUUUCUAAUAUUUGAUAGUGAGAUAUUGUUUGUAUUAAUUAUAUCGCUCAGUUAGGUGUGAGGGCCUUCAAGGCCUGCUACCUUGGUGAUAUUGCCACAGAGCCAACUAGCUCAGGGCUGGGCUCACAGAAGGUUCAAUAAACAUUUGCUGUUUGAUUGUGUUUUCACUCCAGUGCCGGAGAUGAUUUUACUCUGAUGUGGGGCCCCGGCAUUUGAAAUCUCCCUAUCUCAGUUAAGGGGGUUUCAUUUGCAAAAGAUAGAAAACCUCACCACAAUAGCUUGAACAAAUAGUGGUUUCUUUCUCUCACAUAAGACAGCAAUGUCAGGGCCGGCUUCUUGAAGGUUUUCUGGGCCCUUCCCUCAGUGAGGGCUCAGCGCCUAGAGCCAGGGAAGGCGGGCAGCCAGAGGCCCACACACAGAGCCCCGCACCUUGACUGGUCUUGUGCCUGGGGCUGGUGCAGGCUCCAGUCCCUGAGCUCACCCACUGCCUGGCCAGGCCCCUCGAGGUGGCCCCUGGAGAGCAGCGACAAUGGUUCGCUGCUCCUGGACUGGGGUGAGUCUGUCUGUGGCUUAGGCUUCCCUUUCCUCUGGACAGAGGUGGCAAUUGGAAUUGAUG